CAGACGUUUACAGGAAUAGAGGAUCGAGGUAACAGACGUUUAAAGGAGUAGAGGAUCGGGGUAACAGACGUUUACAGGAAUAGAGGAUCGAGGUAACAGACGUUUACAGGAAAACAUCAUCAUGGUUUACUUACAGAACAUUUGAGUACAAAUACAUAUGAUACAAGUAGAGGUAUACACAACUCAUAGACAACUCGUACACAACUCGUACACAACUCAUAGACAACUCGUGCACAACUCGUACACAACUCGUACACAACUCAUACACAUCUCGUACACAACUCAUAGACAACUCGUACACAACUCAUAGACAACUCGUGCACAACUCGUACACAUCUCGUACACAACUCAUAGACAACUCGUACACAACUCAUACACAUCUCGUACACAACUCUUAGGACAUACAGUGACUUGCGAAAGUAUUCACCCCCUUGGCAUUUUUCCUAUUUUGUUGCCUUACAACCUGGACAUUUGCCUACCACUUUGAAGACGCAAAUUAUUUUUUAUUGUGAAACAAACAAGACAUAAGACAAAAAAAACAGAACCUGAGCGUCCAUAACUAUUCACCUCCCCAAAGUCAAUACUUUGUAGAGCCACCUUUUGCAGCAAUUACAGCUGCAAGUCUCUUGGGGUAUGUCUCUAUAAGCUUAGCACAUCUAGCUACUGGGAUGUUUGACAUUCUUCAAGGCAAAACUGCUCCAGCUCCUUCAAGUUGGAUGGGUUCCACUGGUGUACAGCAAUCUUUAAGUCAUACCACAGAUUCUCAAUUAGAUUAAGGUCUGGACUUUGACUAGGCCAUUCCAAGACAUUUAAAUGUUUCCAUUAAACCACGCAAUUGUUGCUUUAGCAGUAUGCUUAGGGUCAUUGUCCUGCUGGAAGGUGAACCUCCGUCCCAGUCUCAAAUCUCUGGAAGACUGAAACAGGUUUCCCUCAAGAAUGUCCCUGUAUUUAGCACCAUCCAUCAUUCCUUCAAUUCUGACCAGUUUCCCAGUCCCUGCCGAUGAAAAACAUCCCCACAGUAUGAUGCUGCCACCACCAUGCUUCACUGUGUUCUCAGGGUGAUGAGAGGUGUUGGGUUUGCGCCAGACAUAGCGUUUUACUUGAUGGCCAAAAAGCUCAAAUUUAGUCUCAUCUGACCAGAGUACCUUCUUCCAUAUGUUUGAGGAGUCUCCCACAUGCCUUUUGGCGAACACCAAACGUGCUUACUUACUUUUUUCUUUAAGCAAUGGCUUUUUUCUGGCCACUCCCAUAAAGCCCAGCUCAGUGGAGUGUACGGCUUAAAGUGGUCCUACGGACAGAUACUCCAAUCUCCGCUGUGGAGCUUUGCAGCUCCUUCAGGGUUAUCUUUGGUCUCUUUGUUGCCUCUCUGAUUAAUGCCCUCCUUGCCUGGUCCGUGAGUUUUGGUGGGCGGCCCUCUCUUGGCAGGUCUGUUGUAGUGCCAUAUUCUUUCCAUUUUGUAAUAAUGGAUUUAAUGGUGCUCCGUGGGAUGUUUAAAGCUUCUGUGACAUCUGAAGGUAAUAGGCUGCACCAGAUGACAUUUAGGGGCAUCAUAGCAAAGAGGGUGAAUUAAUACAUACUGUACAUACUGUACAUACAUACAUACAUACUGUACAUACAUACAGACAUACAUACUGUACAUACAUACAUACAUACAUACAUACAUACAGUACAUACAUACUGUACAUACAUACUGUACAUACUGUACGUACAUACUGUACAUACUGUACAUACUGUACAU
ensembl:lncRNA